rnacentral:rRNA from 1 species
UUGGAGGGCAAGUCUGGUGCCAGCAGCCGCGGUAACUCCAGCUCCAAUAGCGUAUAUUAAAGUUGUUGCAGUUAAAAAGCUCGUAGUUGAAUUUCGGGACCAAUUUGUUGGUCGUGCCUCGGUACGUACUGGUAUUAUUGGUUUCUCCCUUCUGAAGAACCUUGAUGUCAUUAAUUUGGUGUCUUGGGGAAUCAGGACUGUUACUUUGAAAAAAUUAGAGUGUUUAAAGCAGGCAUACGCUUGAAUACAUUAGCAUGGAAUAAUGAAAUAGGACGUUUGAUUCUAUUUUGUUGGUUUCUAGGAUCGACGUAAUGAUUAAUAGGGAUAGUUGGGGGCAUUAGUAUUCAAUUGUCAGAGGUGAAAUUCUUGGAUUUAUUGAAGACUAACUACUGCGAAAGCAUUUGCCAAGGAUGUUUUCAUUAAUCAAGAACGAAAGUUAGGGGAUCGAAGACGAUCAGAUACCGUCGUAGUCUUAACCAUAAACUAUGCCGACUAGGGAUCGGAUGAUGUUAUUUUUAAUGACUCAUUCGGCGCCUUACGGGAAACCAAAGUGUUUGGGUUC